GUAGUUAGGGUUAAGGUUAGGUUUAAAUCACAUUUUAAGAAGAGAAAUUGUAGAAAUAGGAGGCCUUCUGACUUUGUGGCCGUGGUAAUUAGUGAGUACCUAGAAAUAUCUUGAGCCGAGUAGGUUAAUUACCCAGCCAAGCAGAUACGAGGUGUUGAGUCAUUUAGGUUGUGAAAAGCAUUAUCAAAAAGCUUUGUCCUUUCUUUAUUACAAAAUGCACGUUACAACUUGUCUGUCUAUAUUUAUCACCCUGUAACCGGCCCUCCCAGUCAACAACACCUCAUAAGAUAAGGAAGUACAUUGUUUAUGAGGAUUGCCUGCUGUAGUUGCUCAAGAGAUGUCCAGUUUGCAGCCGAACGUGCAACAUAGUGAAGACCAGCAAGGGGACCCUCAACAUCACACAGACAUGCCCUCGCCUAUGAGCAGUCCUAGAAAUGGAACAGGGAGGACACUUGAAUCAGUGACCAACCAGUAUCUUUGAAGAGGAGUCAGGAGCUGAUCUACGCUGCCAUGUCUGUCAAUGGGGUGCGGGCAAUGACCUUACCUCUAGUCUCUCCUCUUGUCUGCACACCAACGGUUGUCGAUGGGGAGACCUGAAUUAGAUGCAUCUAUGGAGUCAGCAUUUGGAGACUUGGUCCUGACCAACAGACAGGCUUGAUACUGACGUCUCUGAAUGGAAAGAGACCUGGCACUCAAGGCAUCCACACUGUGGGACUGAAGGUGAUUACUAAUAAUGCAGUCCAGAAGAAAUGUCCAUUAUUUGCGACACCCUUUUUAUUAUGUGUCACUGAUGAACUCCGCCUCAACUUGACCUAUUUCUACAAAUGGAGAGGACUGUGGAUGCUUUUGCCAGAUGCCAGCCUUGUUCGUUUGAUGGGGAGACCAUAAUAGGAAAGGUUUUAUCUGACCUGUUCAAACUUCAACUAGUACCUGUUUGUGUGUAAAAUAUUACCUAUCCUAACUGCCAUUGGUAAUAGAACAAUGACUAUGUGUGUAUGUGUUCAUAGAAACAUGUAUGGAGACUUGUAAGAUGAUGUGAUGAAGUUCAGACUGACAGACAGGCUUGAUACUGAUGUCUCUAAAUGGAGAGAGACCUGGCACUCAGCAUUCACAUUUUACACAGCUUUUACUUGUGUUGUCUUUUUUUAAAUUAUUGAAUUGGAUGGGAUCAGUCAAUAUGAGAUGAGAAAAACACCAUGUAUUCUGCACCAAGAUCAGGGAACUCCUGUUGUAUACCGGACACCACACUGGAAGGUAUGACCACUCUGACAUGUUAGCCAAGGUAGCCCCAUUACCACCAGACAAAAUGUCAUUAGGCAUGAUAUCUGUAUCAUUGUUAUAUUAGCUGAACACUGCUUCUACGGUAUUACGUAAAGGUUGUUGGAACUGUUACUACAUUUGAAAGUUAUCAAAACACUUAAUUUAGAAUAUCUACAUAAAUUCUGCAAUUGCA